CACGUAGGGUGCGAGCGUUGUCCGGAAUUAUUGGGCGUAAAGAGCUCGUAGGCGGUCUGUCACGUCGGCUGUGAAAACCCGAGGCUCAACCUCGGGUCUGCAGUCGAUACGGGCAAACUAGAGUAUUGCAGGGGAGACUGGAAUUCCUGGUGUAGCGGUGAAAUGCGCAGAUAUCAGGAGGAACACCGGUGGCGAAGGCGGGUCUCUGGGCAAUAACUGACGCUGAGGAGCGAAAGCGUGGGGAGCGAACAGG
rnacentral:rRNA from 1 species